rnacentral:lncRNA from 1 species
CUGGGAGGGCUGGGGGAGGGGCUGGAGAGGAGGUCAAGAGAAUCUGUGGGAGCGUUUCUGGCUUCAGACAUCUUCUGAGGGCCAGUGGGCACCAGGCACACAGUAGGAGCUUGGUAGAUGGCUGAGGAAUGGCAGGAGCUCAGCCCAGUGUUCAGCCCCAGUGGGGCCUGAGAGGGCCCAAGCACGGUAACCACAGGAGGAGCUCCUUCCCUGUACCCCACCACAGGGAGCCGGCUGGGGAACACAAACUUGGUUUUCCAGUUUUUCCCAGAGCCAGCUGCUCUGUACCUGAGAAGUCAGUGCUUCCCGGAUCCCAGUCAGCAUGGGCUUUUCUCCUAGGCCCUGAGCUUACGUCCAGAAACAUUCUCCUGGGGUUUAUCUGCCCCCACAACCAGCCCAGUACUGGAAGCUCUGACUUCCUCAUCAAGGAUCACAAGGGGAAAAUGACCUGUGGGGUAGGGGGAAGAGGCCAGAGCCUUCAUCACUCUGCCUGCCGCUGGCAUCCUGUGGGGGCCUAGCUAGCUGGGGUCACCUCCCUCUUCCCCACACAGAGCUGGCAGGACAGCUGGUUUAUCCUUCUUCAGCCACAGCCUGCAGAAAGCACGUUCCCCUCGGAGCCCCGGGCCACUAGCCAGUCCACUGGGGACAUCCCUCAGAGAGGGGAGGGGAGGGAGAGACAGGGCGGACACCCAGGCUGGCACACUGUGGCCAGCCACCCGGCUCCACUGACUGGCGGUUUCGUGUCUGGCUCCCUGAGGUCCAGAUGGUCCCAACACGUCCCUGGGGGGUAAGCAGACUCCUGCCCAAACUUGAACUCACAGCUCCAGCCCCCAGAGGCUCCGAGCCAGGACCCCAAAGGAGGGAGGAGGAAGUCCCAUGAAGAAAUAAAGAACAUGUGGUGAAUCACAGAGAAGUGGCUGAAAAGAUUCAAGCCUCAACCUUGGUCCUCCCUAGUCACAUGACCACAGGCAAACCUCUUCUCUCUCAGCCUCAGUUUUUGCAUCAGUGCAAUAGGAAUGGUAUCUGCCAUGCUAACCUCACAGGACUGCUGUGUGUUCAGAUGAAUCAGAUGCUGACGAUACGACAGUGAAUACAACAUGAAAAAACAAGCACACUUCUCACCCCUAUGGAGCUUUAUUCUGGUCAGGCAGAAGGAGAAGGAAAUGUAAACAUGCAAGGUCAGGUACUGCUGUGAAGCAAAAUAAAGCUGUGGGUACUGUGCGAAGGAUAGGCUGUGUGUGUGUGUGUCUGUGUGCGUGUGUGUGUGUGUGUUGUGCAUAUUAAGUCAAAAAAUGAAUCUGGAUGAUCCUGGGCCAGGUCUGACCCCAGCAUUGCCACUGACUGUAUAAUCUCAAGCAAGUCAUGCCUCCCCUCUGGGCCUCACUUUCCUCAUCUGUAAAGUGAGACCGUGGACUGAAAGGCCAUUGUGAUCUGGCCUCAGUCUUGAC